UUUGCAGAUUUAAGAGGACACUUCACACCCUACAACCCCUAAAAUAACCCAGAUUUGACAGCACUGCACACCCAUCUCGGGCCUUCCUGUUUCAUUUUGCGAUUACCACAGAUGCUUCUACUACUAACCCGCUUUGUGUCUGAUGUUGAUGCAGUCUGGACACUAAUAUGUGUUGGAUUGCUGACCAUCAUUGAAGAUGAUGUAUUUCUCCAAAUCUUCUCUGCCUUGACCCUGUGUCUUCUGCCAUCAUUGUUCAGGGUACACUGCAAAGAACAGUCUGUAGAAUCUACAUCAACUGUUUGCUUCUGGAAUGUCAUUUGGUACAUUUGGAUUACUGCUACAUUUGGAUUGACCUAAUACCAUGAA